GGGUCUUGUAAUGGAAUGAGUCCAAUUUAACCUUUUAACGAGGAACAAUUGGAGGGCAAGUCUGGUGGACAAUUCAGCUCCCAUUUCUGCUGACGCCAGAGAUAGUCGGGCAAUUUCACUGCAAAUUGUUAUGCCGGCUAGUCGAGUACCUACUAAUAGAUGGGGAGGUACCGGCGAGACAACCUGGAUCGGGGAAGGCUAAGGCAUCGUGUGCUAUGCUAAUCCCGAGCAGAGCUACUACGGAGUGAUCUGUACAUAGCCUGUGUAGAGCGCGCUAAGGUGUCGGCCAGCUCAUGCUGGCUUAAGGUACGUGCCGUUCCCACUCGAAAGGGUGGCCGCCAGCGGAAGCGCCCAUCACGCAAGCGCUGGCGGGUUCAAUACAUUUUUGGACGUCGAUGAUAAGGCCAGCAGCCGCGGUAAUUCCAGCUCCAAUAGCGUAUAUUAAAGUUGUUGCAGUUAAAAAGCUCGUAGUUGAAUCUUUGGCCUGGCUGGCGGGUCCGCCUCACCGCGUGCACUUGUCCGGCCGGGCCUUCUCUUCUGGAGAACCGCAUGCCCUUCACUGGGCGUGUUGGGGACCAGGACUUUUACUUUGAAAAAAUUAGAGUGUUCAAAGCAGGCCUUUGCUCGAAUACGUUAGCAUGGAAUAAUAGAAUAGGACGUGCGGUCCUAUUUUGUUGGUUUCUAGGACCGCCGUAAUGAUUAAUAGGGACAGUCGGGGGCAUCAGUAUUCAAUUGUCAGAGGUGAAAUUCUUGGAUUUAUUGAAGACUAACUACUGCGAAAGCAUUUGCCAAGGAUGUUUUCAUUAAUCAGUGAACGAAAGUUAGGGGAUCGAAGACGAUCAGAUACCGUCGUAGUCUUAACCAUAAACUAUGCCGACUAGGGAUCGGGCGGUGUUAUCGAUUUGACCC
rnacentral:rRNA from 1 species